AUGCGAGGCCGGCGACAGCCCAGGUGCGCCGCGCCACCGCGUGUUGCCGGUCCCGACCGAGCCCCGCGCCGGCCGUUCCCGUGGGGCAGCGUGAGGACCGCUCCGGGGCGGGCUGAAGCCCCGCGGGCGCCCCGGGCCCGAGGCGCGGGCGCCGCGCGGGGGGGACGGCGGCCCUGCCGCGGGGCACUCGCUCGCCGGGAGCGACGGGAGGGCGGCGGCGGGGCAGCGCGGCGAGAGCGGGCGCCCCCCAGCCGUGCCCGCGUCCCGGUGCUGCAUGGCGCUGCUCAGCCUGCCUUGCAGAGGGAGCUCGAGUCCCGCUCUGCGCCUCGCAGCGCCUCUCACUCCGUAGCACACGCCAGCGCAGCAAGGCGGCGGCCGGCAGGAGCGGGACACGCAGCCGCCGCCACCGCGUCCGCCCCGCGACCAGGCGCCGGCCGGACACCGAGCGAGGCCAGGGGCACCGGACGGAGCGCGCCGGGCCGAGCCCCGCAGAGAUGUUCCCAAAGCCACAUAAAUAAGGAGAUUAUUCCUUGCAGUUCCAGGAGCAGAGUCAUUUUGUCCUGGGGAUCCUGACAUGCAGUGCCCUGCCUGCCUUGACAGAAAGCUACUUUCUUGCUCAGAUCUCUGCAGCCAAGGUAUAGAUUAUCUUGGAAGUUGGUAUUGUGCUGCAGGGAUGGGGCUAGGUUUUGGCAGAGCAAGGAGAACACCCACUUAGAUGAAUGGAUUGAAUUCGUGGCUCUGACUGCUGGAGUGAUGGGCUGUUUUUAUUUGCAGGGAUUAUUCUGAGGGAAAAGAAACUGAACCAAAAAUACAAGAUGUCUGGGCCACUUUCCACCUCUGGAGUGCUCUUGCCCCAGAGUUUUCCCACUGCAGUUGUGCCAAUUGGGACCCAUAUCUAUGCUCUUGCUGCCUACAGUGCCUGACAGUGCAGUACCCAAUACUUUGGGAGAAUCACUGUACUUUCCUCUUAGGGCCCCUCCAACCCACCCCUCAGCAGGUGAAAUAAGGUUAAGCUAGCAGCGACACAACAAAGCAUCCUCUGGUUAUACCGUUUCUGCAGUCCCCUCUACAGAUAAAAACCACUUCCAGAAGUGCUUCCUCUGAAAGCAACUCACAGACAGUCAUGGGCACCAGGCUUGGCUAAUGUGGCACCGUGUCUGCUUGAUGCUGCUCUGUGCCAUGCACCUAGUAUAGACAUGGCAAAGAUGUGGGCAAGAGCUGUCUUGCGCCAUCAGUUUGCCAGGCUACCCAACCUCUGCCCACAGAUCCACUGUGCUCCAGCCCAGCUCCCAGCACGGGAGAGUGCCUGGGUGCUGCCCCUCACUGCCAACAAGGUACUUCCCGACAUCUUGCACUAAAGAGUUGUCCUGUCUGGGACAUCCUAUGCACCAAGACACGCUGUCAUCCUUCCUGCAGAACCUCCUCCCCAACAAGGGGACAUGCAGCUCUGCUAGCAGCCCCUCACCAUGCAAAGCAGAGAGCAGAACCCAAGAGCCUGAUCCCCCGGUACUGCUGGACCACAUUUUUGGCAGUGUGGGCCAUGGCAGGCCCCUGCCUGGAGCCAGCAGGGAGGCUUCCCAGCACUGGCGAUCUGUCCCUUGUUCCUCAGGCCUGCGCUCACCCUGGAACAAGCAGCACAUGAAGGGCAGGAACAGGUCACCUAGAGAGGUUGUGGAGUCUCCACCCUUGGAGAUAUUCAGACCCCGACUGGACACAGUUUUGGGCAACCUGCUCUAGUUAACCCUGCUUUGAGCAGGGGGAAUGGACAACCAUCUCCAAAGGUCCCUUCCAACUUUURCUAUUGUAUGAUUCUAUGAUCCUUUGCAGCUCAGUGCCACUGCAGCCAGAUCCACUGUUCUUGCCAUUGAGAGGAAACCCAAGAGGUGCUAAAUACCUGUGGGGAUGUUUUGAAAACCAGUUCAGCUCAGCAAGCUCUGGUCCUGGCUCCACUACUGCCUGGCACCAUGGUGCAUUCCCACCCCAGGCAUGGACCAGAGUAGAAACUAGGGCUGCCCUGGAAAUAGCAGUGGUGUUGCAGGGGAAUAUCCUGAUUUCCAGGGCUUGGGGACAGCCUUAAGCCUGCCUGCCCAGCCCAUCAUGCAGGUAGCAAUCACCUCCCUUCUCUGAGGGCAAACCCUGUACGCUUUGUUGGGCACCAGCUCCACUGGGACCCUGCUGUGUCUUGCAGCAGCCCCACAGCACAGCAUCAGCAUGCACAACUCAUGCCAGCUUGAGUGAGGUUUCCCAUGCCUAGCAGGCAAGGGUUUGCAUAAGUUUUUGCAACAUCUUAGCAACUCUUGCAAAGCUCAGAGAGGGUGGAAACUUCUUCCAUUGCUUAAAAAGCUUCCUGCUCUCCUUUUGGUGAAACCAAAGUCACUGUGGGAGCAAGCUGGUGAGGACCUGCUCCCCUGCUGCAUUUGCUGCACAUGGCUACGGGCAGUUCCCACCAUGAGUUCCCUGGCUUUCCAAACACCUGAGACACCCAGUUGAGUCUAACUUUGUCACUCAGUCCACAAACAUUUCUCUGUGGAACGCUGAAUCAAGGCACAUUGAAAAAGACAACACUAGCAAUGACAUUCAAAUCAUCACAGUGUCAGUAUUCCUGGAGGGCAGGACAGCAAAGGCACACUGCAGGCCCAGGCAGUGCUGUGCACUGCUGGGGCAAUCCCCUCUGCCCUGGCUGUGCUGUGCCAGGAAGACCAAGACUCCUGCUUGGCCCCACACAUCACCUCUGUGCCUUAUGCUGGAGGGGAGCAACCCAGUCUCCUCUUCCCUUGCACAGCUGGCUGCAAAAGGUGCCUGCCAGCUCUGAGAGCUGGCUCAGGCUAGGACUGGCCGCUGCCUGCAUGGCCUAGCAGCCCCAUGGCUGUUGGUGUACUGGAGAUGUGUGCCCUUUGUGUUGCCCAGCUGUGGCAUGGGAAUGGCUGGCAGCUGAGGGGUGGGUGAGGACUGCCAGCUCCCCAGCACAGCUCAGUGCACCCAGCUGCAGCUAGGCCAUGCUAGAUAGCACAGUUGCAUCCCAUGACAACCCUCCAGCCCACCAGUCAGCCAUGCUAACCACUAGCUUACACUGCCCCUAGGCAAUGGAGCUCCAGAAACACCCACACAAUGACACCAUCGCUCAUUAAAGGUUUGUUUUUAUUUCUGGUUUAAAAUCAAAAUUAGUCAUUCUCUGUAAUUACAUUAUAUAUAGAUUUAUAGAGACAUUAUAGAAAAGGAUUUUUUGCUUUUGUUUUUCUGCAAAAAUUUGUAAAUAAAAAAUAAAACCAAAAAAAAGGUGGCA
rnacentral:lncRNA from 1 species